GUGCUUGCCUCAGCAGUACAUACACUAAAAUUGGAAUGAUACAGAGAAGUUAGCCUGGUUCCUGUCCAAUGAUGACACACAAAUUCAUGAAGCGUUCCAUAUUAAU